UCAAAACUUUUAACAACGGAUCUCUUGGUUCUGGCAUCGAUGAAGAACGCAGCGAAAUGCGAUACGUAAUGUGAAUUGCAGAAUUCAGUGAAUCAUCGAAUCUUUGAACGCACAUUGCGCCCAGCAGCAAUCUGCUGGGCAUGCCUGUCCGAGCGUCAUUUCUGCCCUCGAGCGCGGUUCGCUUGCGAGCCGACGCCCGGUGUUGGGGCUCUGCGGGUUCGUCCCGCAGUCCCCGAAAUGUAGUGGCGGUCCCGCCGCGGCGCCCCCUGCGUAGUACUUUGUCUCGCAUCGGGUCCCGGCGAAGGCCAGCCGUCGAACCUUUCUUUUGAUGGUUUGACCUCGGAUCAGGUAGGGUUACCCGCUGAACUUAAGCAUAUCAAUAAGCGGAGGAAAAGAAACCAACAGGGAUUGCCCCAGUAACGGCGAGUGAAGCGGCAACAGCUCAAAUUUGAAAACUGGUCCCCUUGGGGGCCCGUGUUGUAAUUUGAAGAGGAUGCUUCUGGCGAGGCGCCGUCCGAGUUCCCUGGAACGGGACGCCAUAGAGGGUGAGAGCCCCGUACGGUCGGACGCCUAGCCUAUGUGAAGCUCCUUCGACGAGUCGAGUAGUUUGGGAAUGCUGCUCAAAAUGGGAGGUAAACCCCUUCUAAAGCUAAAUACCGGCCAGAGACCGAUAGCGCACAAGUAGAGUGAUCGAAAGAUGAAAAGCACUUUGAAAAGAGAGUUAAACAGCACGUGAAAUUGUUAAAAGGGAAGCGCUUGCGACCAGACUUGCGCCCGUCGGAUCAGCCGUCCCUCGUGGGCGGUGCACUCCGGCGGGCUCAGGCCAGCAUCGGUUCGCUUGGGGGGAGAAAGGCGUCGGGAAUGUGGCUCUUCGGAGUGUUAUAGCCCGGCGUGUAAUACCCUCAGGUGGACCGAGGACCGCGCGAAAGCAAGGAUGCUGGCGUAAUGGUCGUCAGCGACCCGUCUUGAAACACGGACCAAGGAGUCGUCCUAAUAUGCGAGUGUAAGGGUGUCAAACCCCUGCGCGUAAUUAAAGUGAACGUAGGUGAGAGCUUCGGCGCAUCAUCGACCGAUCCUGAUGUUCUCGGACGGAUUUGAGUAAGAGCAUAUUGGGCCGGACCCGAAAGAAGGUGAACUAUGCCUGUGUAGGGUAAAGCCAGAGGAAACUCUGGUGGAGGCUCGCAGCGGUUCUGACGUGCAAAUCGAUCGUCAAACAUGGGCAUGGGGGCGAAAGACUAAUCGAACCUUCUAGUAGCUGGUUUCCGCCGAAGUUUCCCUCAGGAUAGCAGUGUUGAAUUUCUCAGUUUUAUGAGGUAAAGCGAAUGAUUAGGGAAUCGGGGGCGCUAUUUAGCCUUCAUCCAUUCUCAAACUUUAAAUAUGUAAGAAGCCCUUGUUACUUCAUUGAACGUGGGCCUUCGAAUGUAUCAACACUAGUGGGCCAUUUUUGGUAAGCAGAACUGGCGAUGCGGGAUGAACCGAUCGCGGGGAUAAGGUGCCGGAGUGGACGCUCAUCAGACACCACAAAAGGUGUUAUCACAUCUAGACAGCAGGACGGUGGCCAUGGAAGUCGGAAUCCGCUAAGGACUGUGUAACAACUCACCUGCCGAAUGUGAUAGCCCUGAAAAUGGAUGGCGCUCAAGCGUCCCACCCAUACCCCGCCCCCAGAGUAGACACUAUGCUCUGGGGAGUAGGCGGACGUGGAGGUCGUGACGAAGCCCAGGGGGUGACCCCGGGUCGAACGGCCUCUAGUGCAGAUCUUGGUGGUAGUAGCAAAUACUUCAAUGAGAUCUUGAAGGACCGAAGUGGGGAAAGGUUCCAAAUGAACAGCGGUUGGAUUUGGGUAAGCCGAUCCUAAGCCAUAGGGAAGUUCCGUUUCAAAGGGGCACUAUACGCCCCGUAUGGCGAAAGGGAAGCCGGUCAAUAUUCCGGCGCCUGGAUGUGGGUUUUACGCGGCAACGCAAACGAAAGCGAAGACGAGGGCGGGGGCCCUGGGUAGAGUUCUCUUUUCUUCUUAACAGCCUAGCGACCCUGGAAUCGGUUUGUCCGGAGAUAGGGUUCAACGGCUGGAAGAGCCCGGCACUUCUGCCGGGUCCGGUGCGCUCCUGACCUCCCUUGAAAAUUCGCUGGAGGGAAUAAUUCUCACGCCAGAUCGUACUCAUAACCGCAGCAGGUCUCCAAGGUGAACAGCCUCUGGUUGAUAGAAGAACGUAGAUAAGGGAAGUCGGCAAAAUAGAUCCGUAACUUCGGGAAAAGGAUUGGCUCUAAGGGUUGGGCACGCGCAAUCUAGAAAGCAUGCUCUGGAUGCCGUGGGAUAAACAGCAGGCGCGUCAAGAGAUGGCCACGUGGGAC
rnacentral:rRNA from 1 species